UUAUUGCUGCAGAUGAUAUUAAAGAACAUCAUAAAAAUCUUGUCAAAAAGUAUCAAAACAUUAAAAGGAUUCCGCAUGUACAAAAACACCGUCAUUUUAAAGCUGACGGAAAAAGAUGUAUCAUUUACAAUCUGAAGGCAACAUCUUCUGAGUACAAAAAGAUCUUAAUAAUCCCAAAAGAAAAGUUAAAGUAAUCUGAAGUAUAUAACUCCAGCGACAGUGAAUAGAAGCUGGAAGUGAAUCCAAAAGAAACAGUUUAAAAUAUAUCUAAUUCUUCGAGAAAAUCUCGCUUAAAAGUUUAGUGGUCGGACUGAAAUGUAUGUCUAAGUAUACCGUGGUAAGAGAGGAGGUUCUUCGUUACCGGAAUUGCCGGAUUUUAUCUGGCCAAGGGCUGUUAUU